UGCGGGAUCGUCUAAUGGCAGGACACGAGAAUCUGGAUCUCGGUAUUGGGGUUCGAGUCCCUAUCCCGCAG
rnacentral:tRNA from 3 species